rnacentral:rRNA from 1 species
UGGGGAAUAUUGCGCAAUGGGCGAAAGCCUGACGCAGCGACGCCGCGUGAGGGAUGAAGGUUUUCGGAUCGUAAACCUCUGUCAGAAGGGAAGAAACCGCACUGUGCUAAUCAGCAGUGCCUUGACGGUACCUUCAAAGGAAGCACCGGCUAACUCCGUGCCAGCAGCCGCGGUAAUACGGAGGGUGCAAGCGUUAAUCGGAAUUACUGGGCGUAAAGCGCACGUAGGCUGCUUUGUAAGUCAGGGGUGAAAUCCAACGGCUCAACCGUGGAACUGCCUUUGAUACUGCUUAGCUUGAAUCCGGGAGAGGGUGGCGGAAUUCCAGGUGUAGGAGUGAAAUCCGUAGAUAUCUGGAGGAACAUCAGUGGCGAAGGCGGCCACCUGGACCGGUAUUGACGCUGAGGUGCGAAAGCGUGGGGAGCAAACAGG